UUCUGUUGAGGUUGGUAAUUUUAUUUAUUUACGGUUGGUAUCAUUGCUUUGAUUUGUGUUGUCGCAAAUGGAUGACAGUUUUCUUUGUACAGGUUGUUCUACAUAAUUCAAAUUUUCAAACAAUUUUUUUUAAUCUUCAUUUAGAGCCUCAAAGAGUAUUUACAACUCCAAACACCGGAGAGGAAUUCAAUUUCUUUAAACCGCGUUUAUUAUUGUUAUUGUAAUAAUGGAUCCAAAUUGUGUUGAGGAAUUGGCCACUUCCAUAAUUGAGACGAGUAAAUAUGAAUUGGACGAGAAAGCAGCUACUGCUGAAAUGAUACAGUUCUUUGCUGAUGUACAUACAUAUAAUGUAUGAUAAAGAAAUGUUGAGGAUUCUGGUUAUUUAUUGAUUAAGAGGGAUGCCUGGAUAAAGAAGAUGACCUCAGCCUUUACAUAAAUCCGAACAAAAAGGAAGUAAAAAGGAUAUUCUCAAGCGAUCAUCCAACGCAACUUGAGAUAGAUCAAGGGAUGAAACCGUACUACAUGUAUUUUUUAUGUAUUUCUGGACAUCUCCAGUGCAGUGAAGAAAGGAUUUUUAUUCAGUCUUGUUUAUUAUCAAGUGCAACGGAAUCUGAAACAAUCCCCAUCUGUACAUUACCGUCGUUACCACAUUUACUUAUUUUUAUUAAUUAGUUUAAUUUUUCGUGUUGAUUCAAA